GGGAUGUGGGUGUGAAGGGAUGCAGCCCCCCCAAAAGAAAUCGGGGUGAAUCAGAAAUACCUACUAAUGAUGCCCCAAUGCAAAACCUGAGAAGAGAGAGGGGAAAAGGACAAGCAUAUAUUUGUCUAAAAUCGGGAAAAAGGAAAAACCAUGAAAAAUCGAGGCAGAAACACAUACGUUGAGGUCUAACCACGAACGAUAAAGGUGGAAGAAAGGACUUUUCUGCCUGCAACACCCAAGUACUAAGCUAAUUUCCUUAAUAAACGAAGAGCUAUUGGAAACCAGCAAGGGAAAGACAAAAGCAAACCAAAAAGGGGCAAAAGAGACUGCAAGUCACAGGACAAUACAAAUGGCUGGAAGAAUCAUGACCUGACUGUCUGCAUAGCGAAACGCCAACCUGAGAUACUGGGUGAAGGCGGUUUAUGGCAGCGCGCUGAAUCGCAUGUGGUCACCCACCAUUGCAUGAAUCCACUGCAUAGAAUAGCAAGAGAUUGCAAGGGGAGUAAGCGGGUAGAUUACCAAGCCCGCCUGUGAUAGAAGACAUCCCUGUCACCAGGAAAAAUAACGGGGGUAUCGCUGCCAUAAAGGACCUGAAUCGUAAUAGAUCCAGUGAAAUAAAGCCCGCUGCUGAAGUUUGUAGAAACGAAAUGUGUACAGUGCCAUUUUCCUGAGGCUAUAUGACCUGUGACACCAUAACAGGCUGAAGGCUCAAGCAGAUGAGAAUUCCAACUGCUCCCUAUCAAGUCUGACACCGAUGACAUUUGCAGAGAUGUAAAACGAUGCUACCAGGUAGCCACAUCUGCUGUGUGUCCAUGAUUGCAUGCCAUGUCCAGAAGACGGUGUUUCAUGUCGCACCUUCCCAUCCUGCCAUCAGCCCUACGUCCUACACAGUAACUCAGCUGUUUCCUGUACAGGUCUCUC
rnacentral:lncRNA from 1 species